CACGAAGUUAGCCGGGGCUUCUUUACCAGGUACUGUCAUUAUCAUCCCUGGCGAAAGAAUUUANAACCCUAAGGCCUUCAUCAUUCACGCGGCAUGGCUGCAUCAGGCUUUCGCCCAUUGUGCAAGAUUCCCC
rnacentral:rRNA from 1 species